GACGAACGCUGGCGGCGUGCUUAACACAUGCAAGUCGAACGGAAAGGCUCCAGCUUGCUGGAGUACUCGAGUGGCGAACGGGUGAGUAACACGUGGGUAAUCUGCCCUGCACUCUGGGAUAAGCCUGGGAAACUGGGUCUAAUACUGGAUAUGACCUUUCUCCUUAUGGGGUUUGGUGGAAAGUUUUUCGGUGUAGGAUGAGCCCGCGGCCUAUCAGCUUGUUGGUGGGGUGAUGGCUUACCAAGGCGACGACGGGUAGCCGGCCUGAGAGGGGGAUCGGCCACAUUGGGACUGAGCUACGGCCCAGCCCCCUCCGGGGGGCAGCGGGGGGGAAUUUUGCACAAGGGGGGGAGGCCGGAGGCGGCGACGCCGCGGGGGGGAUGACGCCCUUCGGUUUGUAAACCUUUUCCAGCGGGGACGAAGCGUAAGUGACGUUACCUGAAAAAGAAGCCCCGCCUAACUAUGUC
rnacentral:rRNA from 1 species